rnacentral:rRNA from 1 species
ACGCACGCUGGCGGCAUGCCUCACCCAUGCAAGUCGCACGCGACCUUCGGGUCUAGUGGCGCACGGGUGCGUAACGCGUGGGAACCUGCCCUUAGGUUCGGAAUAACUCCCCGAAAGGGGUGCUAAUACCGGAUAAUGUCUUCGGACCAAAGAUUUAUCGCCUUUGGAUGGGCCCGCGUUGGAUUAGCUAGUUGGUAGGGUAAAAGCCUACCAAGGCGACGAUCCAUAGCUGGUCUGAGAGGAUGAUCAGCCACACUGGGACUGAGACACGGCCCAGACUCCUACGGGAGGCAGCAGUGGGGAAUAUUGGACAAUGGGCGAAAGCCUGAUCCAGCAAUGCCGCGUGAGUGAUGAAGGCCUUAGGGUUGUAAAGCUCUUUUACCCGGGAUGAUAAUGACAGUACCGGGAGAAUAAGCUCCGGCUAACUCCGUG